CUCAAACAUUUUGUGCAGAGGCAGCCUCAGGUGGUCAUCAAGGUCAUCUUGAGAGUUUCUCUACUGUAGCAUGAAAUUUUCAUGAAAAUGAAAAAUGAAGAAAGCUGCAUCACUUCUACACCCGUCAGGCUUUUCUGAUGGUCUCUCAUUUGCUGUCUUUCAUGGAAGCCACUGUCAAUGACCAAAGGUACAGAACAGUUCACCACCACUCUGAACAGUUAACGAACAACUGUGCUCUGUCACAGCUCCUCUGAUGAAUACAGUUACUCAU